rnacentral:rRNA from 1 species
GACGAACGCUGGCGGCGUGCUUAACACAUGCAAGUCGAACGGGUCUGCCCUGUUUUUUGCGGGGUGGGUCAGUGGCGAACGGGUGAGUAACACGUGAGUAACCUGCCCCUCACUUCUGGAUAACCGCUUGAAAGGGUGGCUAAUACGGGGUGUUCUGGCUGUGCCGCAUGGUGUGGCUGGGAAAGAUUCACUUUUGUGGUGUUUUGGUGGGGGAUGGGCUCGCGGCCUAUCAGCUUGUUGGUGGGGUGAUGGCCUGGCAAGGCUUUGACGGGUAGCCGGCCUGGGAGGGUGGGCGGUCACAGUGGGACUGAGAUACGGCCCAGACUCCUGCGGGAGGCAGCAGGGGGGGGUAUUGCACAAUGGGCGGAAGCCUGAUGCAGCGACGUCGCGUGAGGGAUGGAGGCCUUCGGGUUGUGAACCUCUUUCGCCGGUGAAGAAGGUCCUGCUCUUUGGGGUGGGGUUGACGGUAGCCGGGUUAUGAAGCGCCGGCUAACUACGUG